rnacentral:rRNA from 1 species
CAGGGGUUCGAUCUGGCUCAGAUUGAACGCUGGCGGGAUGCUUUACACAUGCAAGUCGAACGCUGGCCUGGACUUGGUCUGGUGGCGAGUGGCGAACGGGUGAGUAAUGUAUCGGACAGUGCGCUAGUAGCGGGGGAUAACUACGCGAAAGCGUAGCUAAUACCGCAUACGCCACUUCGGGGAAAAGCCGCGGGGGACCUUCGGGCCUCGCACUGUCGACGGCCGAUAUCGGAUUAGCUAGUUGGUGGGGUAACGGCUCACCAGGCGACGAUCCGUAGCUGGUUUGGGGACGACCAGCCACACUGGGACUGAGACUUUUUGGCCCAGACUCCUACAGGAGGCAGCAGUGAGAAUUUUGGACAAUGGGGGAAACCUGAUCCAGCCAUCCCGCGUGUGCGAUGAAGGCCUUCGGGUUGUAAAGCACUUUUAGCAGGAAAGAAACGGCACGGGAUAAUACCCCGUGCAACUGACGGUACCUGCAGAAUAAGCUCCGGCUAACUACGUGCCAGCAGCCGCGGUAAUACGUAGGGUGCAAGCGUUAAUCGGAAUUACUGGGCGUAAAGCGUGCGCAGGCGGUUUAGGAAGAAAGAUGUGAAAUCCCAGAGCUUAACUUUGGAACUGCAUUUUUAACUACCGAGCUAGAGUGUGUCAGAGGAGGUGGAAUUCCGCGUGUAGCAGUGAAAUGCGUAGAUAUGCGGAGGAACACCGAUGGCGAAGGCGGCCUCCUGGGAUAACACUGACACUCAUGCACAGCGUGGGGAGCAAACAGGAUUAGAUACCCUGGUAGUCCACUAAACAGUGUCAACUAGCUGUUGGGGCCUUCGGGCCUUGGUAGCGCAGCUAACGCGUGAAGUUGACCGCCUGGGGAGUACGGUCGCAAGAUUAAAGCCGAAAGGAAUUGACGGGAUUACACAGCAGUGGAUGAUGUGGAUUAAUUCGAUGCAACGCGAAAAACCUUACCUACCCUUGACAUGUCUGGAAUCCGAAGAGAUUUGGGAGUGCUCGCAAGAGAACCGGAACACAGGUGCUGCAUGGCUGUCGUCAGCUCGUGUCGUGAGAUGUUGGGUUAAGUCCCGCAACGAGCGCAACCCUUGUCAUUAGUUGCUUUACGAGGAGCACUCUAAUGAGACUGCGACAAAACUGCGGAGGAAGGUGGGGAUGACGUCAAGUCCUCAUGGCCCUUAUGGUGGGGCUUCACAUCUGUAAUGGUCGGGACAGAGGUCGCCAACCCGCGAGGGAAUAAUCAGAAACCCGAUCGUAGUCCGGAUCCGCAGUCUGCAACUCGACUGCGUGAAGUCAGAAUCGCUAGUAAUCGCGGAUCAGCAUGUCGCGGUGAAUACGUUCCCGGGUCUUGUACACACCGCCCGUCACACCAUGGGAGUGGGUUUGCAAGAAGUAGUUAGCCUAACCGUAAGGAGAGGACGAUUACCACGGUAAGUUCAUGACUGGGGUGAAGUCGUAACAAAGUAG